GCGUGGAAUCUUCGGAUGAAACAGGGAAGACUUAGUGGCGACGGGUGAGGUAACGCGUGAGCAACCUGCCUUUCAGAGGGGGAUAACAGUUGGAAACGACUGCUAAUACCGCAUAACGUAUUGAUGUCGCAUGGCAUUGAUACCAAAGCUGAGGCGACUGAGAGAUGGGCUCGCGUCCGAUUACGAUAGUUGGUGGGGUAACGGCCUACCAAGUCGACGAUCGGUAGCCGGACUGAGAGGUUGAACGGCCACAUUGGGACUGAGACACGGCCCAGACUCCUACGGGAGGCAGCAGUGGGGAUAUUGCACAAGUGGGCGAAAGCCUGGAAUGCAGCAACGCCGCGUGAGGGAAGACGGUUUUCGGAUUGGUAAACCUCUGUCUUUGGUGAAGAAGGAAGUGACGGUAGCCAAGGAGGAAGCCACGGCUAACUACGUGCCAGCAGCGGC
rnacentral:rRNA from 1 species